rfam:Callithrix jacchus chromosome 6, whole genome shotgun sequence
GCCACAUAAUAAGAAGUGUUGGCUUUUGCUCUGGAAGAUUGCUUGAAUCCAGGAGUUCUGGGCUAUAGUGCACUAUGCUGAUCGGGUGUCCACACUAAGUUUGGCAUCACUAUGGUGACCUCCUGGGAGUGGAGGACCACGAGGUUGCCUAAGGAGGGGUGAACCAGCCCAGAUCGGAAACGGAGCAGGUCGAAACUCCCAUGCUGAUCAGUAGUGGGAUCGAGCCUCUGAAAAGCCACUGCACUCCAGCCGGGGCAACAUAGCAAGACUCUGCCUCUU